rnacentral:rRNA from 1 species
AGAGCCGUAACACAGGUGCUGCAUGGCUGUCGGUCAGCUCGUGUCGUGAGAUGUUGGGUUAAGUCCGCAACGAGCGCAACCCUUGUCAUUAGUUGCUACAUUCAGUUGGGCACUCUAAUGAGACUGCCGGUGACAAGCCGGAGGAAGUGGGGAUGACGUCAAGUCCUCAUGGCCCUUAUAGGUGGGGCUACACACGUCAUACAAUGGCUGGUACAAAGGGUUGCCAACCGCGAGGGGGAGCCAAUCCCAUAAAGCCAGUCGUAGUCCGGAUCGGAGGCUGCAACCCGCCUCCGUGAAGUCGGAGUUGCUAGUAAUCGCGGAUCAGCAUGCCGCGGUGAAUACGUUCCCGGGCCUU